GUGCACUUAAUUGGACGUGUGAAGGGAGCUCUUAUCCUCACGUUUGUCUUUUCUUUGGAGUAAAUUCACAGCACUAAAUAGUGGAGGGCCCAUGGUUUCAUUAUGCACCAUCCUUGAGCACAAAACGUCUGGGAUUUUGCUUUAAAAGAGGGAGGAGGUUCAGAGUUUGGAGGGAGAGGAGUCGUGUGGAGGAGGAGGCAGCAGGGGGCUGAUCCAGUUUGCACACACAGCACGCACGGCAGUACCAGAUAUUAAUGAAGAAAGGGGCUGGUGCUAAAUGAAUUGAAGAGGGCCAAGCAGUAGGUUGAAGUGUGCUGAGAUUGACUGGGCCAAAAAAUGCUGGGCCAAGGCUGAAUGGAUGGAAACUAGGCCGUUGUUGGUUUCACUCGUUCAAAUCGUUGCUGUUCUGGAAUGGCUGAUUCUUGCUGCAAUGGAGUUGGGCUGAAGCCCUUUUGGAUGGUUUAAUGAAACGCAACGUUUCAUGCUGCGAGAAGGGGAAAAGGCUGGGAGUUCCCUAUACUUCGUGCUUCAUUUGUGCAAGAGGGAGCUUCUUUCCCCAAAUUCUCUCAACCCUGCACCUAGGGUUCGUGUUCCAACAAAAGAGAAGAACCAGAGUAGUGAUUAAGAACACAAGCUACAAGGCCCAAAAGGAAGCCGGCCCAGAAGCUAAUCGGACCGGAGAAGCAGAAUCGUGAUCGGAGGUAUGCUGGGCUGGAAUGGUUGACGAGUAAAGCUUUUGGAGACCGUUGGAUCAAGGAGAAGCUCGAAGCGUCAAAGCAAGGUUUCCCCUCUCCCAUUUUGAUCUUUUCCCCCUUUCUUUUCUCUUUUCGUUUUUCGACCCUAUAUAAAGGGCUUUCACGAUGUAAAUACAUAUACAGAGAACACUUCUUCACACACUUUUAACCUUUUUAGUUUACAGUUCUCCGUUCUAGAGUUUAGGGUUUUAUUCGCUUUUUUUAGAAUAGGAUAUUGUUCUUGAUUCUGGAUUUCGCUGAUGAGAUUCAUGGAACCGUGACAAUCCGUGAGCUCCUCAUUAGGUGAUUUCUGGUAAAGUGUUUGUAAUUUUCCUUUUUCCAUAUUAAUAAAGUUAAAAUUCGUAUUCUCGUUUA